rnacentral:rRNA from 1 species
UAGAGUAAUGAGUGACCAACCUGCCCCAUGCUCCAGAAUAGCUCUUGGAAACGGGUGGUAAUGCUGGAUGCUCCAACUUGACGCAUGUCUUGUUGGGAAAGUGUUUAGUGGCAUGGGAUGGGGUCGCGUCCUAUCAGCUUGUAGGCGGGGUAAUGGCCCACCUAGGCUUCGACGGGUAGCCGGCCUGAGAGGGCGGACGGCCACAUUGGGACUGAGAUACGGCCCAGACUCCUACGGGAGGCAGCAGCC